GACGUAGGGCGCGAGCGUUGUCCGGAUUUAUUGGGCGUAAAGAGCUCGUAGGCGGCUUGUUGCGUCGACUGUGAAAACCCGCGGCUUAACUGCGGGCUUGCAGUUGAUACGGGCAGGCUAGAGUUCGGUAGGGGAGACUGGAAUUCCUGGUGUAGCGGUGAAAUGCGCAGAUAUCAGGAGGAACACCGGUGGCGAAGGCGGGUCUCUGGGCCGAUACUGACGCUGAGGAGCGAAAGCGUGGGGAGCGAACGG
rnacentral:rRNA from 1 species